rnacentral:rRNA from 1 species
CCUACGGGAGGCUGCAGUGGGGAAUAUUGGACAAUGGGGGGAACCCUGAUCCAGCCAUGCCGCGUGUGUGAAGAAGGCCCUCGGGUUGUAAAGCACUUUCAGUGAGGAAGAACGCCUGGUGGUUAAUACCCAUCAGGAAAGACAUCACUCACAGAAGAAGCACCGGCUAACUCCGUGCCAGCAGCCGCGGUAAUACGGAGGGUGCGAGCGUUAAUCGGAAUUACUGGGCGUAAAGCGCGCGUAGGUGGCUUGAUAAGCCGGUUGUGAAAGCCCCGGGCUCAACCUGGGAACGGCAUCCGGAACUGUCAAGCUAGAGUGAAGGAGGGGAAGGUAGAAUUCCCGGUGUAGCGGUGAAAUGCGUAGAGAUCGGGAGGAAUACCAGUGGCGAAGGCGGCCUUCUGGACUGACUCUGACACUGAGGUGCGAAAGCGUGGGUAGCACACAGGAUUAGAUACCCUAGUAGUC